GUCUAUGGCCAUACCACCCUGAACACACCCAAUCUCAUCUGAUCUCAGAAGCUAAGUAGGGUCGGACCUGGUUAGUACUUGGAUGGGAGACCACCUGGGACUACCAGGUGCUGUGGGCU
rnacentral:rRNA from 1 species